rnacentral:tRNA from 1 species
GAGGCUCAGUGGGUAGAGUGCUUGCCUUGCAUGCACAAGGCCCUGGGUUCAAUCCCCAGC